CAAAGGCUGUAUUUCUCCUCAGCCAGCAGAUUUUCUCUUCCACCACCAAUCCCCAAAUGAAAAACUUUUCGAAAUUUUUUUUUUUGAUAGAUCUUUUUCUUUUCUUUUCUUUUUUUGAUAGAUUGAGGAUGGUAAUGAAGGGCCCGGAUUCAAGAUAGAUAGAAGAAGAAGUGUUUAUGAAUAAAUGGAAGAUGAGAAAGAUGAACGAUUUAGAAGAUACCAAACGAGCGGCUCUGAUACCACUUGAAGGACCCUAAGAUCAGCUCACUCGAAUGGAUCAGAUUUGGAUAUGAACUCCAGAUGGAGAACUAGAUGGAUUGAAGGGUCUCACGAAGGAUGCG
rnacentral:lncRNA from 1 species